rnacentral:rRNA from 1 species
GCUAUACGCUGGAGGGCGUCGCUCUAUAACAUUAAGUCGAGCGAACAGAGAAGGAGCUUGCUCCUUUGACGUUAGCGGCGGACGGGUGAGUAACACGUGGGCAACCUACCUUAUAGUUUGGGAUAACUCCGGGAAACCGGGGCUAAUACCGAAUAAUCUGUUUCACCUCAUGGUGAAAUAUUGAAAGACGGUUUCGGCUGUCGCUAUAGGAUGGGCCCGCGGCGCAUUAGCUAGUUGGUGAGGUAACGGCUCACCAAGGCGACGAUGCGUAGCCGACCUGAGAGGGUGAUCGGCCACACUGGGACUGAGACACGGCCCAGACUCCUACGGGAGGCAGCAGUAGGGAAUCUUCCACAAUGGGCGAAAGCCUGAUGGAGCAACGCCGCGUGAGUGAAGAAGGAUUUCGGUUCGUAAAACUCUGUUGUAAGGGAAGAACAAGUACAGUAGUAACUGGCUGUACCUUGACGGUACCUUAUUAGAAAGCCACGGCUAACUACGUGCCAGCAGCCGCGGUAAUACGUAGGUGGCAAGCGUUGUCCGGAAUUAUUGGGCGUAAAGCGCGCGCAGGUGGUUUCUUAAGUCUGAUGUGAAAGCCCACGGCUCAACCGUGGAGGGUCAUUGGAAACUGGGAGACUUGAGUGCAGAAGAGGAUAGUGGAAUUCCAAGUGUAGCGGUGAAAUGCGUAGAGAUUUGGAGGACACCAGUGGCGAAGCGACUAUCUGGUCUGUAACUGACACUGAGGCGCGAAAGCGUGGGGAGCAACAGAUAGAUACCCUGUAGUCCACGCCGUAACGAUGAGUGCUAGUGUAGGGG